rnacentral:hammerhead_ribozyme from 1 species
GUCCAGCUGACGAGUCCCAAAUAGGAUGAAACACGCCUCCUAGAU